CCUACGGGCGGCUGCAGUGAGGAAUAUUGGUCAAUGGGCUUACGCCUGAACCAGCCAAGUCGCGUGAGGGAAGACUGCCCUAUGGGUUGUAAACCUCUUUUGUCAGGGAGCAACGCCGGCUACGUGUAGCCGGCCUGAGAGUACCUGCAGAAAAAGCAUCGGCUAACUCCGUGCCAGCAGCCGCGGUAAUACGGAGGAUGCGAGCGUUAUCCGGAUUUAUUGGGUUUAAAGGGUGCGUAGGCGGCUUGAUAAGUUAGAGGUGAAAUGUCCGAGCUUAACUCGGGAACUGCCUCUAAUACUGUUGAUCUAGAGAGUAGAUGCGGUAGGCGGAAUGUAUGGUGUAGCGGUGAAAUGCUUAGAGAUCAUACAGAACACCGAUUGCGAAGGCAGCUUACCAAGCUAUAUCUGACGUUGAGGCACGAAAGCGUGGGGAGCAAACAGGAUUAGAUACCCGGGUAGUC
rnacentral:rRNA from 1 species